GUUAAGUUAGUUUAACAAAAAUAUCAGCUUGUGGAUCUGAAGAUAAAAACUAUUUUACUUAACC
rnacentral:tRNA from 1 species